GCCAGCAUGAUGUAGUGAUUUGAGCAUCAGACUAUGACUCUGGAGACCAGGGUUCGAAUCCCAGCUUGGCC
rnacentral:tRNA from 1 species